UAGGAUCUGUGGGAUCAGCUCCCCACCCAUCCUGUGGGAUUUGUAGGAUCUGCUCCUCACCCCUUCUGCUGGAUCAGCUGAGGAGACCUUUCCUGUGGGGUCUGAGGGAUCUGUUCCCCUCCUACUUGUGGGGUUUCUCCUCGGCCCUAUCUGUGGGAUCAGCUCCCCCAUGUUCCUGUGGGAUCUGUAGGAUCAGCUCCCUCAUGUUCCUGUGGGAUCUGUGGGAUCAGCUCCCUCAUGUUCCUGUGGGAUCUGUGGGAUCAGCUCCCUCAUGUUCCUCUGGGAUCUGAGGGAUCAGCUCCCCCAUGUUCCUGUGGGAUCAGUUCCCGCCAUUUCUGUGGGAUUUGCAGGGUCAGCUCCUCACCCUUCCUGAGGGAUCAGCUCCCCAUUUCUGUGGGAUUUGUGGGGUCUGAGGGAUCAGUUCCCGCCAUUUCUGUGGGAUUUGUGGGGUCUGAGGGAUUUGUGGGGUCUGUAGGAUCAGCUCCCCAUUUCUGUGGGAUUUGUGGGGUCUGA
rnacentral:lncRNA from 1 species